rnacentral:rRNA from 1 species
AUUGAACGCUGGCGGCAGGCCUAACACAUGCAAGUCGAACGAGUGGCGGACGGGUGAGUAAUGUCUGGGAAACUGCCUGAUGGAGGGGGAUAACUACUGGAAACGGUAGCUAAUACCGCAUACCCUCAGAUGUGCCCAGAUGGGAUUAGCGUGUUGGUGGGGUAACGGCUCACCAAGGUGACGAUCCCUAGCUGGUCUGAGAGGAUGACAGGCCAGGCUGGAGCUGGGACACGUUCCAGACUCCUACGAGAAGCAGCAGUGGGGAAUAUUGCACAAUGGUCGCAAGCCUGAUGCAGGCAUUCCGCGUGUAUGGAGAAGGCCUUCGGGUGGUAAAGUACUUGCAGCGGGGAGGCGUUACCCGCAGAAGAAGCACCGGCUAACUCCGUGACAGCCGCCGCGGUAAUAG